rnacentral:rRNA from 1 species
CUCAGUAACACGUGGAUAACCUGCCCUUAGGACUGGCAUAACCCCGGGAAACUGGGGAUAAUUCCGGAUAGUUCAUGGUAGCUGGAAUGCUCCAUGAUCGAAAGCUAUUGCGCCUAAGGAUGGGUCUGCGGUCUAUCAGGUAGUAGUGGGUGUAAUGUACCUACUAGCCGACGACGGAUACGGGUUGUGGGAGCAAGAGCCCGGAGAUGGAUUCUGAGACAUGAAUCCAGGCCCUACGGGGCGCAGCAGGCGCGAAAACUUUACAAUGCGGGAAACCGCGAUAAGGGGACACCGAGUGCCAGCAUCUUAUGUUGGCUGUCCGCAUGUAUAAAUCACAUGUGUUAGCAAGGGCCGGGCAAGACCGGUGCCAGCCGCCGCGGUAACACCGGCGGCCCGAGUGGUGGCCACUAUUAUUGGGUCUAAAGGGUCCGUAGCCGGUUUGGUCAGUCUUCCGGGAAAUCUGACGGC